UACAGAGGGGGCAAGCGUUGUUCGGAAUUACUGGGCGUAAAGGGCGCGUAGGCGGCCUGCUAAGUCGAACGUGAAAUCCCCGGGCUCAACCCGGGAACUGCGUCCGAUACUGGUUGGCUUGAAUCCGGGAGAGGGAUGCGGAAUUCCAGGUGUAGCGGUGAAAUGCGUAGAUAUCUGGAGGAACACCGGUGGCGAAGGCGGCAUCCUGGACCGGCAUUGACGCUGAGGCGCGAAAGCGUGGGGAGCGAUCCGG
rnacentral:rRNA from 1 species